GGCUCUGUUGACGUCUGCACACGGCCGGAAAGCGCCUUCUGCGCGGCAAGUUGGUGACCGCAAGGGUUGCCGAACAAGUCUCGAAGCUGUGUCUUAAAUGAAUCCCAACUGGUGAGCUCAUCUUCAUGCGUGCGAUACCAAACUCUAGGUGUGCCACCGAGGUAAAAGACUACGUUGGCGAGCAUAAUAGUAGGGUCCCACCGGUUAUUGCGGCUGACGUGUUCAUACAGGCUGAUACAGUCAUCGACGUCUUCCCCAUCUUUGCCCGAGAAUACGCCAGGAUCACGAGGAGCGGGGAGAGUGAUGUAGGUCGUCGAGGUGGCAGCAGGUGUCGGAGCCGGCGGAGUCGGGUUGUCGUCGCCGGGAGCCAUGAAGGAAGGCUCGACGUACCGUCCACUGCGAAGCUCCGUGACGAGCGGACAUUGACAAUGGGCAGCAAGUCAACUACAUUCAGUCAGGGUUUCGCAAGGCAAGAAGUGCUAUAACUUCAUGUGUUGUCUCGACAUGAACUAGCAUUUUGUAUGGAUCAGUGCAUCUACAAUCGUCUGUGCGCUGUCUGUCCCUUGGGCGAUACUCAACCAUAGUUCUCAGGCAUGUUCUGUACCUCCUCGUGAACCUUCUCAACGGGACCCAACGAUGAAUGAUCAAGUUGCCAACUGAUAGGGGGAGAGCUAUGUAAACGCUUUACUGUCAAAGCUAUGUGUGUAUGUACAUCUAUUCAUAGGUGUAUGUUGUCCAAGUCUCAUCCAUACUCUUUUGUCACACUGAAGCCAGUGGGUCUUGAGUCUUUUUACUCGAGCCCAACACUGCAUAUUGUUUGAAUGGAAAAAUAAACAUAUUCCCUCUACUAGUCUGUGUCUCAAAGAUGCCUUGCCACAACACUAAGUUAACACGAACGGUGAAAAGUUGACCCAGCAACAUUGCCUUGUGGACUGCUAUACAAUGGUAUUCUACAUAAAUUACUUUUGUUACAAUAUCUGAUCGAUGAAUUAAAUAUUGCCUGUUUGCACCAUCCAAGCGCCCAAUACAGCUCAACCAAGCAACUAUCUUGGGCACAAGAAUUUUACAAAUGUCUUAUCACAUGCAGCUUGAUUUUUGAAUGAGCAACAGUACUAUUACGUUUGCAGUACUCAGUUCAUGGCAUUUGGCUAAUCAAGGAUGCUACGCCUUUCACAUUUGCUGCUUCUAUGAACGUCUGUGCUUAUGGCUAUGUAUGGUAUGAUAUGUGUGAUGUUCCGCCGAAGAAGACUGAAGAGACAAGAACAAUGAUCUGUAGCUACGAUCUGCUCAUAGGUGAGCUGCGUCGUACAAUGGCAUCCUAAUUCACUUAACAGUGUAUUGUAUUCUGCCCUGAUAUAAACACCUGCUGAAUCUUGUCUCUUGAGCAUUGCACAUCCAAAAUAUUUACAUUUUCUUUCUUUUUUCUUCUUCUGUGUGCUAAACCUUCCGACAUGGAAGGUUUACCUUACUACCUUAAACCUUACUACCAUUUUUCCCCGCUCCUGUUACAGAAAUUGUAUAAUGAUUAUAGAGCUCAUAUGUACUGCCUUGUUCAUCCAAACUUAUCUAUGUCCGCGCCUACUUGAACUGUGUUCUCUUGAAUAUGUAUUCUGCCCCUUUCCUGCAACAGCCUCAAAUGUGAGGCUAGCAGUAUGACAGGUUUCUGGCAACUGGCGGUUCUAUGAUCGACAUUGCUAUGAGCUACCGCAUGCAUGUAAGCACGGUCUCCGGCAUUCUGAAAGAGACCCUGCCUGCCAUUUGGGACUGCCUUUCCCCACUUGUGCUGCGAGAGCCGACCUCAGAAGAAUGGGAGCUCAUCAGAGAGGGGUUGGACAAGAAAUGGGACUUUCCCAAUGCUGUCGGGUGCAUAGAUGGCAAACACUUCGCAAUUACGUGCCCUGACGAGAGUGGUUCGGAGUAUUAUAAAUACAAGGGGUUUUAUUCAUUA